rnacentral:rRNA from 1 species
UACGUAGGUGGCAAGCGUUGUCCGGAUUUAUUGUGUUUAAAGGGUGCGUAGGCGGCCUUGUAAGUCAGUGCUGAAAUAUCCCGGCUUAACCGGGAGGGUGGCAUUGAUACUGCAGGGCUUGAGUAAAGUUGAGGUUGGCGGAAUUGACGGUGUAGCGGUGAAAUGCUUAGAUAUCGUCAAGAACACCGAUAGUGAAGACAGCUAACUAAGCUUUAACUGACGCUGAGGCACGAAAGUGUGGGGAUCAAACAGG